rnacentral:rRNA from 1 species
CCUACGGGCGGCAGCAGUGGGGAAUAUUGCGCAAUGGGCGAGAGCCUGACGCAGCGACGCCGCGUGAGGGAUGAAGGUCUUCGGAUCGUAAACCUCUGUCAGCAGGGAAGAACGGUCACUGUGCUAAUCAGCAGUGAAUUGACGGUACCUGCAAAGGAAGCACCGGCCAACUCCGUGCCAGCAGCCGCGGUAAUACGGAGGGUGCGAGCGUUAAUCGGAAUUACUGGGCGUAAAGCGCUCGUAGGCGGUAUGUCAAGUCAAGGGUGAAAUGCCCGCGCUCCACGUGGGAACUGCCUUUGAAACUGGCAAACUGGAGUGGGUGAGAGGAUAGUGGAAUUCCAGGUGUAGGAGUGAAAUCCGUAGAUAUCUGGAGGAACAUCAGUGGCGAAGGCGACUAUCUGGCACAUAACUGACGCUGAGGAGCGAAAGCGUGGGUAGCAAACAGGAUUAGAUACCCGAGUAGUC